GGAGUGGGCAUAGAUGGUCGCUGGUUCGGCCCUCGGGUCGAACGGGAGGAAAGUCCGGGCUUCACAGGGCACAAUGGUCGGUAAUGCCGACCGGCCGUAAGGCCAGGGAAAGUGCAACAGAAAAUAGACCGCCCGUCUUUGACGGGUAAGGGUGAAAAGGUGAGGUAAGAGCUCACCAGCAGCCGGGGUGACCCGGCUGGCUCUGUAAACCCCAUUGGAAGCAAGGUCAAACAGGAAGCAGCCGGCUGGCAACAGCUGUCGCGGAUCUGUCCGAUCCGCUAUCGACUUCCGGGUGGGCCGCUCGAGGUGCCAGGCAACUGGCAUCCUAGAUAAAUGACCGUCUUCUCGUCGCCCACAAGGUGGCGGGGAAACAGAACCCGGCUUACAGGCCCAUUCCCGAA
rnacentral:RNase_P_RNA from 1 species